GCUGCUGCUGUUAGGAGCGCUGAGGAAGACGAGGAGAUCUCAGAGGAAGAGGUGAGUCUGAAACACACACACCUGAGUCCCACUGACCGCUGGAUCAGAUCUGACCGCGUGUGUGUGUGUGUGUGUGUGUGUGUGUGUGUGUGUUUAGAGGCCGAGGGAUUCAGCCGGACUCCUGCAGAACCUCCAUCUAGAUCUGGACGCUCUGGGAGCAGGACUGCAGUACGAGGUCAGCACCAGCCACAUCCUCAGACACUUCAGCAGGAGCUUUCAGGUCAAAGGUUAUCACAGGAGGGUCAGACUCUAAUCUAACCCUUCAGACACUGCACGGUGUGUGUGUGUGUGUGUGUGUGUGUGUGUGUGUGUGUUUCAGGACAGUGGGGUCAGUGUGACGGUUCCUCCUGAAGAAAGAACAGAACCUGAACUACAGGAUUUGGCCCUGUCCAGGGAUCACAGUCCAGAAGCUCCUUCAGAGGUACCUGUCUGUGUCUCUCUCUCUCUCUCUCUCUCUCUCUCUCUCUCUCUCUCUCUCUGUCUCUCUCUCUCUGCAGUGUCUCUGUGUGUCUUUGUUAAUAAUGCGUCUGUUUGUUUGAGGGAUUUGCAUGUGACCUCACACCCGUCUGUCUGUCCGUCUGUCUCUAACGCCGUCCUUCACUGUAAGGACUCGUUGCGUGGACGCCACCUUCGUUCCACAGCAGCUUCACGACCUCUGACCCCGGAUGCUGCGGCGUCCAGCGGCCGAGAGGAAGUCGAGCAGAGGAGCAAAGAGAAGAAACGGUCAGAUGAGGAAGAGAACGGACAGAUCACAGACGAAGAGACCGAGAACCAGAAACACAGAGAGGAAGAGAGUGAUGACCAGAUUGAGAGUGUUACAGAGGAGGAGAAGAGCACAGAAGAAGAGAAAGAUCAGGCCGAGAGUAAAGGGGAAGGAAACAUGGAAGAACAGAUCGGUCCUGAGGAGAGAACUGAAGGAGAUCAGACAGAGAGCAGAGCUGAUGGAAACAUGGAAGAAGAGCUGACUGAAAGAGAAGAAGGGGAUGAGACACACAGACAGGACAGUAGAACCGAAAACCGAGACGAAGAGGCUGUGAGAAGUGUGUCCUGUGAGGAGGAGGAGGAGGAGAGGGUUUCUGAGCAUCAGGAGAGUAAACAUGAGGAAGAGACUGCAGAGGUGUGUGAGGCGAUCGAACACCUUCAGAUGACUCGUGUUAACGCAGGGAAGUUUGUGCCUCAGUGGAGUCCAGUGUCCAGCGAGGAGUCUGAGGACGGUGGAGCAGCGGCGUCGCUCUCAUCCGCUGGUAAUGUACAGGACAGGAAGGAAGGGAAGGGCGAGGCAGAUGUGGACAGCUGUGAGGACGUCUCUGACUCUGCAGACGGACGACUGCUUGAAAACGUGACGUUAGCUCAGACGCCGCCGUCGCGCUCCGCUGCCUCCACAUCCGCCGAUGACAUCAUCAGCACCUCAUCACAUGACCAGAGACCUCCGACCUCCCGCGGCAGAACCGACACCACUGACCGAGAAGAGAGGGAGGAAGAGGAGAGGAAGAGACGAGAAGAGAGGGAGGAAGAGGAGAGGAAGAGACGAGAAGAGAUGGAGGAGGAGAGGAAGAGACGAGAAGAGAGAGAGGAAGAGGAGAAGAAGAGGCUGGAGGAUGCAGAGAGACAGAUGGAGGAAGAGAGGAGCAGACUGAUGGAGGAGACGCAGAGGAGACUGCAGCUGAUCAGAGAUGCUCUGAUGAAGGACGAGGAGGACGAGGAGCGCCGGAUGAAGGAGGAGAGCGCUGAGCAGCUCAGGGUUCUGAAGGAGCAGAUACUCAAAAAGAGACGGGACGAGGAGGAGCGAGUGAACAAGGAAAUGCACACACAACUACAACAGCUCAGGCUUGAGAAUGAGGUGAAGCUGCAGGAGCUGCGCUCCGAGCUGGAGGCGGAGCAGGAGUGGGUGGAGACUCAGAGGAGGCGGGACCUCGAGCGCUUGAGGGAGGAGUCUGAGGAGGAGCUCCGGGCAGAGAGGAGGCGGCUACAAGAGAAGAAGGAGGAGCAACUGACCUCCAUCAGACUACAGGCUAAACUGAGUGACACACAGAAGGAUUCGAGGAGGACACGACCAGAACAGCCUUUAGUAGAGUACCAGAGAGAGCUCACAAAUGUGCUGCAGGAAGUGCGGGAGGAAGUGGAGAGAGAUCACAGGAGGAAACUAGAACAGCUGAAGGAGGAACAUCAACAGGAGCUACAGAACCUGAGAGAGACACACCUGGAGCAGGAGAGCAGCGAGCGGGAGCGUCUGCUGGAUUCUCUUCAGAAAGAGAGAGACGCUGUGAUCUCUAAACACACAACACAACUACACAAACUACAGCACACACUGGACACACAGCUGCAGGAGAUGCGCAGGACACACUCGCAGAAGGUCAGAACAACACACACACACACACACUGUAAAAAUGGCUUAAUCUUAAUCUUUACUGAUUUGAUCAUAUACACAUCCAGACAGUGUUUACAGACAGACUCCGCCCACACACUCCUCUGA
ensembl:lncRNA